AUUUUCGAUACUACUUUUAUUAUUAUUAUUGACUAUUGUAUACAUCUACAAAUGAGUUAUAAAUGAGUUAAUCUAAAAUAUUUUUCUUUCUAUUUCCAUUUGUGUACUGUUAGUUGUUGAUCAUGUUUUUUUGGCAAAAGCGAUUCAAAAAUCAAGAAUGAUGAAAGUAUCUAGAAAUCAGGUAGAUAAUCGGUAAUGAAACGGUGGACACAUAAUCUUAAUUUGUUCUCAUUCAUUUAUAGGAUUGACACAUCAUUAUUACAAAUAAUAAUAUUCUUCUAAUACGUGUUAUAAUAUUUUACUCGAGCAAUAUUUAUCAUAAUGCUGUAAAUAAGGAAUUCGGAACAGAACAACGACUUUUAUUGAAAAUGUAAUUUGUAUUAGGUCCUAAUUAGUACUAAAAUUAAAUCGAACGUGAAAAACAAUACAACCAUAGCUGGUCCAGACCUUAAAAUACAUCGGAGGUCAAAAACUCAAAACGUUAUCGGAAAUAAAAAAGAAAAACUCCAUCCUUGUUCGAAACUCAUUGCAUACAACUAUACGUAGACAGCGAACUCUUCGUAGGAAGUCUUGCCAGGCCAUUCGGAUCGGGAAACUGGAGCGUUUCGAUAUGUGCAAAUGUCCGCAUAACCGUUCGAAGGACAAUGCGAGUAGUGUUUCGACCUCAGCGGCAGGUCUUGAAGAUGCAAUACAAAAUAAUAAUAAUAUAAUACAGUCAUGUUUAUUCAUUUUGGCCAUUUCUCCUAGACACAAACGAUCGUAUUAUACAUAGGUAGUACAAUGGUUCGGCCGUAAGGUAAUAUUAUUAUAUGAUGCAUCAAUCUGUAACAUCCUCGCAGUAUCUAUAAUACAUAUAAUACGUAUUAUGCAUACCUAUAUCUAUAUAUUAUAAUGUAAUAUGUAUUAUAUGUGAAUACGAUUACGUGUUUGUGUUUUACAUUUGUUUUUGUAUAUCGAGCUCUUGUAAAUCGGGUCAAGGAAUGAAAAACGAAUCAAUAGAGUGACGUGAUAAGAGAACAAUGUUCUAGGUCUGCAGCGGAAUCGGAAUUAAAUCGAUUUAUGUGAUUACAUUAAUAUGGUAAACCGAUUCAGUAUACCUACGACUACGUGUCACAGUCACAUGUGUCUGCAAACGUAUUUGAUUUUCGUGAGCACCGUUUUGAAUUUUACGGGAAAACAGUUAACCUCGCGAGAAAUAAUCGUUAAGCGGUUAUCAUAAUUAUAUAAUAUAUGUAUAUUAUGCGAAUUAGAUAAUAAUACAUUAGCCAUAAAUAUAUAGGUUAGGUGUAUAAUGUAACUUGCAAUUUCCAUACGUUUUACGCAAUCCAAAUGUUUGCAUUUUAUGAGAAAUUAAGUUAUUAAAUCUUCUUUAAUAGUUUAAUAUACCACCGCGAACUCUUUUAUUAUUAGCUCAAACUGCGCCAAGUAAAUAUAUAGUCACGAUAAAGCUGCGUUGCUGUUGAAAAUUCCUGGUAUCGUUUGGAUUCAAGUAGCGUCUCGCACGGACGUUUAAACAUUUUAAUUGACCACGAUAAUAAUUAUUACUGGGUAUGCACAAGCUAUAUAGGACGGUCUUCUAUAGAUUUAAUGUCUAGUGCGUGCCGUUGAAGUCUCUGAAUUAUAUAUUAUUUAAUAUACUACUACAAUGAGAGUGGUUUUAUUUUAUAGGGGAAAAAAAAUUACUUUCAUUUUUAUCAUGCAUUUAAAUUAAAAUUAUAACGAUUAUAUCAAUAUAGUUAAAUAUUUCAAAUAGUAAUUCAAAUAGAAAUGUGUAUUAUAUUAUAAUAUUACCACCCAUAUAUUAUUUAUAUAAAUGUUUAAUACUAUAUAGUUCUGAAUAAUGGA